rnacentral:rRNA from 1 species
CCUACGGGGGGCAGCAGUGAGGAAUAUUGGUCAAUGGGCGCGAGCCUGAACCAGCCAAGUCGCGUGAGGGAGGACGGCCCUACGGGUUGUAAACCGCUUUUGCCGGGGAGCAACGGGCGUCACGUGUGGCGCCACUGAGAGUACCCGGAGAAAAAGCAUCGGCUAACUCCGUGCCAGCAGCCGCGGUAAUACGGAGGAUGCGAGCGUUAUCCGGUUUUAUUGGGUUUAAAGGGUGCGUAGGCGGUUCGUUAAGUCGGGGGGAAAAUUGAGGGGCUAAACCCCUUCCCGCCAUUGAAACUGGCGAUCUUGAGUGGAAGAGAAGUAUGCGGAAUGCGUGGUGUAGCGGUGAAAUGCAUAGAUAUCACGCAGAACCCCGAUUGCGAAGGCAGCAUGCCGGCUUCCGACUGACGCUGAAGCACGAAAGCGUGGGGAUCGAACAGGAUUAGAUACCCCUGUAGUC